rnacentral:rRNA from 1 species
AGUGAACGCUGGCGGUAGGCCUAACACAUGCAAGUCGAACGGCAGCACAGUAAGAGCUUGCUCUUACGGGUGGCGAGUGGCGGACGGGUGAGGAAUACAUCGGAAUCUACUUUUUCGUGGGGGAUAACGUAGGGAAACUUACGCUAAUGCCGCAUACGACCUACGGGUGAAAGCAGGGGAUCUUCGGACCUUGCGCGAUUGAAUGAGCCGAUGUCGGAUUAGCUAGUUGGCGGGGUAAAGGCCCACCAAGGCGACGAUCCGUAGCUGGUCUGAGAGGAUGAUCAGCCACACUGGAACUGAGACACGGUCCAGACUCCUACGGGAGGCAGCAGUGGGGAAUAUUGGACAAUGGGCGCAAGCCUGAUCCAGCCAUACCGCGUGGGUGAAGAAGGCCUUCGGGUUGUAAAGCCCUUUUGUUGGGAAAGAAAAGCAGCAGGUUAAUACCCCGCUGUUCUGACGGUACCCAAGGAAUAAGCACCGGCUAACUUCGUG